UAUAAACAUUAAUAGACAGCCAUGACAAUAAUUUUCACAACAUGGAACAUUCAAACCUCAGUGGAUAACCAAGACAAGGAAAAACCAGAAAGAAGAACUGCCAUUGUC